rnacentral:lncRNA from 1 species
UUGUCAUGUUACUCUUUUGUACCCUUAGAGGCUCCAUAGACGUUUAUGUGGGUCAUGUACGUAUGUUGGGGUGUCGUUGGAUCGAGUUGUAUUUUGGGAACUUAACUACGACAUAAUGUAUAUAAUGAAAAAUGAACUAGCAACGUUUAUAUAUGUAUAUAACUGACCUCUCCCCUAUUUUAUAAAUAGUGAAGCGUUCCCUUUUUGGAUCAUGAAUGAGCCGGGUAGGAAAGGUUUGCUAGGCUUGCUCGACCGGGUUCACUCGGUUGAGCGCCGGUCGCGCUCCUCGAGAUUGGGGCGUGACACUUUCUCAACAAAAGAAAAAGUAUGGUCAGAUUGUUCAUACUUCUGUUCACGACCAAGGCAAGAGCUGCACAUAAAUAGUUUUAUAGUGAGUAGUACUACAUGUUAUUAGUGCAACUAUGUCUCUGAUAAAUAUUAUAGAAGGUUCUUAUUUCAUAAACAACUAUUGAUGAUAAAGUAUUCUUUCUCUACAAAAGAAAAAGUAUGGUCAGAUUGUUCAUAUUUAUGUUUAUGACCAAGGCAAGAACCACACAUAAACAUGAAAAAUUAAUUGGUUUGCCAGAACAAAGUUGGGUAGUCAGAUGAAUAAGCUAAUAAAGAGACUGGUCGAUAUAGGAAAUAAUACUACAUACAUGUAUCUGCGAUAUGUUGAAAUAUAGACAAUAAUACUACCUACAAUGUAAGUGCUACACAAGAAGGAAAGGAGAAAAAACAUCAUUCAGUGUGUUUGAGUAAUGCUAAGUGCAUAGGCAUUGGUAUUAGAUAUGUUUCAUUUAGAGAAGUUCACUUAGAAAACACAUAUUAUAUUAAAAGAAAACACCUACAAAGAAGAUUAGGAAGAAAAGACUCUACAAUCCAUGACACACUGCAAUUAUAGAGUACCUGGCGUUGAAAAGGUAUACAACAUCCUAUAAAGAACAGGACUGAGUCCCUUUUUUUAAUACAAAAAAAAAAACAUCAAGCUCACCAUGCAUAGUGCCUUCUAGAUGAAAGUAUCACAAAAUCAUCAAAGACAGAUUAAUGUUCUCCAUAUGAAUAUCCUAAAAUGUUGGUCCAUUACCUUAAUCUUAAGCAUCAUAAUUUAACACUACAAGCAUCCCAACUUUCACUUCUUUCAUUUCAUUUAAAUAUGCAACCAACUUGGCUUUGUCUUGACGAUGAACUAAAGAAAGAGUGGCCAAAGACAUGACCUUUGCUUUUCUUAACAUUUCUUCUUAGAAUUUCCUGUUGUGUAAGAGGAGACUGUUGAAUAUACUAUGUACCUAAACUUCUAUAGGACCAUCAUAAUCUAACAACAGAAUUUUGGAAAGAUUUCACAUUUGCACACCAUCAGAAUUACUAAACGGCAACACUGUAAAAAUAAAUUAUUGUACCCUUUUUGCUUUCAAGUACAAAGAAUUAUUUUAAAGGUUCAUCCCGGCUUUGAAAGAGUAUCUUUAUGUCACUUACCUCUCUCCGAUACUCCUAUUUUAUACUUCCUCUUUUUCAAUUUUGUUACGUUUAUGUGAACAAAUGACCAUAUGCUGGGUUUGGUCUCUUCUUUGGAGCUUUCUCUUGUUCC